rnacentral:rRNA from 1 species
GGAGGAAAGCAGGGGAUCGCAAGACCUUGCGCUUUUGGAGCGGCCGAUGCCUGAUUAGCUUGUUGGUGAGGUAAAAGCUCACCAAGGCUCCGAUCAGUAGCUGGUCUGAGAGGACGACCAGCCACACUGGGACUGAGACACGGCCCAGACUCCUACGGGAGGCAGCAGUGGGGAAUUUUGGACAAUGGGGGCAACCCUGAUCCAGCCAUGCCGCGUGAGUGAAGAAGGCCUUCGGGUUGUAAAGCUCUUUCAGCCGGAACGAAACGGUCACGGUUAAUACCCGUGACUACUGACGGUACCGGAAGAAGAAGCACCGGCUAACUACGUGCCAGCAGCCGCGGUAAUACGUAGGGUGCGAGCGUUAAUCGGAAUUACUGGGCGUAAAGCGUGCGCAGGCGGUUUUGUAAGUCAGAUGUGAAAUCCCCGGGCUUAACCUGGGAACUGCGUUUGAAACUACAAGGCUAG